rnacentral:rRNA from 1 species
UGGGGAAUUUUGGACAAUGGGCGAAAGCCUGAUCCAGCAAUGCCGCGUGUGUGAAGAAGGCCUUCGGGUUGUAAAGCACUUUUGUCCGGAAAGAAAUCCUUGGCUCUAAUACAGUCGGGGGAUGACGGUACCGGAAGAAUAAGCACCGGCUAACUACGUGCCAGCAGCCGCGGUAAUACGUAGGGUGCAAGCGUUAAUCGGAAUUACUGGGCGUAAAGCGUGCGCAGGCGGUUUGCUAAGACCGAUGUGAAAUCCCCGGGCUCACCUAGGCACUGGCAUGCUGAUGCUGGCAGGCUAGAGUAUGGCAGAGGGGGGUAGAAUUCCACGUGUAGCAGUGAAAUGCGUAGAGAUGUGGAGGAAUACCGAUGGCGAAGGCAGCCCCCUGGGCCAAUACUGACGCUCAUGCACGAAAGCGUGGGGAGCAAACAGGAUUAGAUACCCUGGUAGUCCACGCCCUAAACGAUGUCAACUAGUUGUUGGGGAUUCAUUUCCUUAGUAACGUAGCUAACGCGUGAAGUUGACCGCCUGGGGAGUACGGUCGCAAGAUUAAAACUUAAAUGAAUUGACGGGGUCAUAGCUGUUUCCU